rnacentral:rRNA from 1 species
CACGUAGUUAGCCGCGACUUUCUGGUUGGAUACCGUCACUGCGUGAACAGUUACUCUCACGCACGUUCUUCUCCAACAACAGAGCUUUACGAGCCGAAACCCUUCUUCACUCACGCGGUGUUGCUCCAUCAGGCUUGCGCCCAUUGUGGAAGAUUCCCUACUGCUGCCUCCCGUAGGAGUAUGGACCGUGUCUCAGUUCCAUUGUGGCCGAUCAGUCUCUCAACUCGGCUAUGCAUCAUCGCCUUGGUAAGCCGUUACCUUACCAACUAGCUAAUGCACCGCAGGUCCAUCCCGGAGUGAUAGCCAAAGCCAUCUUCAAACAAAAGCCAAUGUGCUUUGUGUAUGCGGUAUAGCAUCUGUUCCAAAUGUUACUCCCCCGCUCCGGGCACGGUUACCUACGUGUUACGUCACCCGUUCCGCCACUCCACGUGGUAGAUCCAAACGCAACUCAAGUGACAAGCACCAUCAAUCAGUUGGGCCUAGUCG